rnacentral:rRNA from 1 species
UACGGAGGGAGCUAGCGUUGUUCGGAAUUACUGGGCGUAAAGGGCGCGUAGGCGGCGCAACAAGUCACUUGUGAAAUCUCCGGGCUUAACCCGGAGCGGCCAAGUGAUACUGUCGUGCUAGAGUGCGGAAGGGGCUACUGGAAUUCUCGGUGUAGCGGUGAAAUGCGUAGAUAUCGAGAGGAACACCUGCGGCGAAGGCGGGUAGCUGGGCCGACACUGACGCUGAUGCGCGAAAGCCAGGGGAGCGAACGGG